rnacentral:rRNA from 1 species
CCUACGGGAGGCAGCAGUGGGGGAUAUUGCACAAUGGGGGGAACCCUGAUGCAGCGACGCCGCGUGGGUGAAGAAGCGCCUCGGCGCGUAAAGCCCUGUCAGCAGGGAAGAAAAUGACGGUACCUGAAGAAGAAGCCCCGGCUAACUACGUGCCAGCAGCCGCGGUAAUACGUAGGGGGCCAGCGUUAUCCGGAUUUACUGGGUGUAAAGGGGGCGCAGUCGGGGAUGCAAGCAAGGAGGGAAAGUCCGGGGCCCAACCCCGGGACUGCGCUUGGAACUGCGUGGCUGGAGUGCAGGAGGGGCAGGCGGAAUUCGUGGUGUAGCGGUGAAAUGCGUAGAUAUCAGGAGGAACACCGGUGGCGAAGGCGGCCUGCUGGACUGCAACUGACGUUGAGGCCCGAAAGCGUGGGGAGCGAACAGGAUUAGAUACCCUGGUAGUC